GGCGAUCGAAGUUGGGCUACGGUUUCUUCUAGGACAACGCGGUUGCGGCGGCGGAGAUAGAGGAGACUCGUCAGAGUCGAUGGUAACGAAAGGUAGGGCGGUGAAAUGGUUUUGUCGUCGGUUUAUUGUGGAAGGUGGUUCAUGCGCCGUGUGGUCGCGAGUGCGGACCAUGGUUUGGUGGUGGACGGUGGUGAGUGGUGGUAAAAAGGGAAGGGGUUUAUGAAGAGAAAAAGAAAUUUUGAAGAAAGGUUUUAGUGAGAAACAUUCGGCUGGUCAAAUGGGGGGUAAUUGGGGAUUUGAUUGGUGAAAGUGUUUUACUUGUUUGAGGAGAGUGGUAGUGGAGUUUUAAUUUCCUAGGUGAAAAAGUAUGAUUUGAUGGGUGAAAGGGUUUUUUCUUAAUUUGAAAAGAAAUGGACGGUUGGGAAGAGAGGGAAGGGUUAAAAUGGGGGAGUGGGGUUGUAGUUUUCUAGGUGAAAAGUUGGAUGUGAUAGGUGAAAUAUUAGGAUUUGAUAGGUGAAAGGUUGAUGGGUAUAUGGUUUUUUUUUAAUAUUUGAAAAGGGGUGGACGGUUGGGGGUAAAAAUUUGGGUUUUUGAUUUUUGAUUUUUUUAUUGGGAAGGGUGGUUUCCUUUUUUGGGGGGGAGGCUUAUUUUUUUUAGGUUUGAAUUUGGGUAGGUAUGAUAGGUUUGGCUUUUGGUUAAAUGGGUUAGCUUUGGUAUUAGAUUGGUGAGUCACAAUGGACAUUCUUAAGUACCAAGUCUUUCCUUAGACAGAACUGAUCCUUGACAUGCAUUUUCAUUUUCCGUUUUACCAAAAAAAUUAUUUGUAUAAAGGGAAAAUUUUGGGUUGCCUCCCAACAGUGCUUUGUUUAACGUCGUUAGCUCGACGACCUGUUAUUCAAAUUCUGGGCUCCUCG
rnacentral:lncRNA from 1 species